rnacentral:rRNA from 1 species
CAGCCGCCGCGGUAAGACGAACCGUGCGAACGUUAUUCGGAAUUACUGGGCUUAAAGCGCGUGUAGGCGGGCCGCCACGUCGGUCGCUGAAAUCCCCCGGCUCAACCGGGGAAGUGGCAUCGAUACGAGCGGCCUUGAGGGGGGUAGGGGGAUCUGGAACUUCCGGUGGAGCGGUGAAAUGCGUUGAGAUCGGAAGGAACGCCCGUGGCGAAAGCGAGGUCCUGGACCCUUUCUGACGCUGAGACGCGAAAGCCAGGGGAGCGAACGGGAUUAGAUACCCCCGUAGUCCCUGUCUCUUAUA